rnacentral:rRNA from 1 species
UACAGAGGGGGCAAGCGUUGUUCGGAAUUACUAGGCGUAAAGGGCGCGUAGGCGGUCCUGUAAGUCUUGUGUGAAAUCCCUCGGCUUAACUGAGGAACUGCACGAGAUACUGCGAGACUUGAGUUCGGGAGAGGAAAGCGGAAUUCCGGGUGUAGCGGUGAAAUGCGUAGAUAUCCGGAGGAACACCGGUGGCGAAGGCGGCUUUCUGGACCGACACUGACGCUGAGGCGCGAAAGCUAGGGGAGCAAACGGG